rfam:Picea glauca, whole genome shotgun sequence.
GAGUGCGAUCAUACCAAUGUUAAUGCACCAGAUCCCAUCAGAACUGCGCAGUUAAGCGGGCUUGGGCUAGAGUAGUACUGGGAUGGGUGACCUCUCGGAAAGUCCUAGUGAAGUACCCUCC